UGGGGCGUGGUGUAAUGGUAGCACAACAGACUCUGACUCUGUUUGUCAAGGUUCGAGUCCUUGCGCCCCAG
rnacentral:tRNA from 1 species